rnacentral:rRNA from 1 species
GAUGAACGCUGGCGGCGUGCCUAAUACAUGCAAGUCGAGCGAACGGACGAGAAGCUUGCUUCUCUGAUGUUAGCGGCGGACGGGUGAGUAACACGUGGAUAACCUACCUAUAAGACUGGGAUAACUUCGGGAAACCGUAGCUAAUACCGGAUAAUAUUUUGAACCGCAUGGUUCAAAUGUGAAAGACGGUCUUGCUGUCACUUAUAGAUGGAUCCGCGCUGCAUUAGCUAGUUGGUAAGGUAACGGCUUACCAAGGCAACGAUGCAUAGCCGACCUGAGAGGGUGAUCGGCCACACUGGAACUGAGACACGGUCCAGACUCCUACGGGAGGCAGCAGUAGGGAAUCUUCCGCAAUGGGCGAAAGCCUGACGGAGCAACGCCGCGUGAGUGAUGAAGGUCUUCGGAUCGUAAAACUCUGUUAUUAGGGAAGAACAUAUGUGUAAGUAACUGUGCACAUCUUGACGGUACCUAAUCAGAAAGCCACGGCUAACUACGUG